rnacentral:rRNA from 1 species
UAAGGAAUAUUGGACAAUGGAGGCAACUCUGAUCCAGCCAUGCCGCGUGCAGGAAGAAGGUCCUAUGGAUUGUAAACUGCUUUUGUACAAGAGAAAACCUCCCUACGUGUAGGGAGCUGAUAGUAUUGUAAGAAUAAGCAUCGGCUAACUUCGUGCCAGCAGCCGCGGUAAGACGAAGGAUGCAAGCGUUAUCCGGAUUCAUUGGGUUUAAAGGGUGCGUAGGCGGAUUUGCAAGUCAGUGGUGAAAUCUCCGGGCUUAACUCGGAAACUGCCAUUGAUACUGCAGAUCUUGAGUACAGAUGAUGUUGGCGGAAUAUGACAUGUAGCGGUGAAAUGCUUAGAUAUGUCAUAGAACACCGAUUGCGAAGGCAGCUGACAAAACUGUAACUGACGCUGAGGCACGAAAGUGUGGGGAUCAAACAGG